rnacentral:rRNA from 1 species
GUCGAUGGGAAACAGGUUAAUAUUCCUGUACUUGGUGUUACUGCGAAGGGGGGACGGAGAAGGCUAUGUUGGCCGGGCGACGGUUGUCCCGGUUUAAGCAUGUAGGCGGAUGUUCCAGGUAAAUCCGGAACGUUAUUAACGCUGAGGUGUGAUGACGAGGCACUACGGUGCUGAAGUGACAAAUGCCCUGCUUCCAGGAAAAGCCUCUAAGCAUCAGGUAACAUCAAAUCGUACCCCAAACCGACAC